GCUGUAGCUCAGUGGUAGAGCACUUGCCUAGCAAGUAUGAGGCACUGGGUUCAAUCCUCAGCACCGCA
rnacentral:tRNA from 1 species